rnacentral:rRNA from 1 species
GCGGCUGCGGUAAUUCCAGCUUCAAUAGCGUAUAUUAAAAGUUGUUGCAGUUAAAAAGUUCGUGGUUGAAUUUCAGAGUUAGCAGGCUGGUCAUGCCACAAGUAUGUACUGGUCUUACUGAUCCUCCUUCCUGAUGAACUGUAAUGCCAUUAAUUUAGUGUUGCAGGAAGUCUGGACCGUUACCUUGAAAAAAUUAAUGUGUUUAAAGUAGGUUAACGCUUGAAUACAUUAGCAUGGAAUAAUGAAAUAGGACGUUAGAUUCUAUUUUGAGGAUUAAUGUAAUGGUUAAUAGGGAUAGUUGGGAGCAUUAGUAUUCAAUUAUCAGAGGUGAAAUUCUUGGAUUUAUUGAAAGACUAACUACUGCAAAAACAUUUGCACAAAGAUGUCUUCAUUAAUCAAGAAUGAAAGUUAGAGGAUCAAAGAUGAUCUGAUACCGUCGUAGUUUUAACCAUAAAUUAUGCCGACUAGGCACCUUACGG